rnacentral:rRNA from 1 species
GGCAGCAGUGGGGAAUUGUGCACAAUGUGGGAAACCAUGUCGCAGCAACGCCAUGUGGAGGAUGAAGUCCCUUGGGAAAUAAGCUCCUCUCGAUCGGGUCGAUAAUGCCGGUACCGGAAGAAGAAGCCCCCGCUAACUUCUUGCCAGCAGUCGCGGUAAUACGAGGGGGGCUAGUUUUGUUCGUAAUUAUUGGGCUUAAAGGGUUCGUAGGUGGUUCGGCACGUGUUGUGUGAAAUCUUCAGUCUCAACGUGAAGUCUGCACAAUAAACUGCCGGGCUGGAGUAUGGGAGAGUUGAGUGGAAUUUCCGGUGUAACGGUGAAUUGCGUAGAUAUUGGAAGGAACACGUCUGGAGAGAGCGGCUCGCUGGCCCGUUACUGUCACUGAGUCGUGAAAGCUAGGAGAGCAAACAGGAUUAGUUACC